AGAUCCAUGGUGACGGUGGCUGCAGUGGCCCGAUGGAAGCGGCGGCCAUCCCUAGCCGUUAUCGCGUGCUUCUGCUACUCACGUUGACCAUGGAUCUGCAGCAGGGGCCUCCCUCCUCCGUUUCCCAGAGCCCGCAGCAGCUGAUUCGCCAUCCGGAGAUUCGGAGCAGCAAGCGCCGGACGAGGAGAGGGCGAGGACGGUGACCUGCUGGAGGCCCGAGCACGACCAGUCAACGGUGACGAUGCCCCACACAAGAUCAGUAGGAGCUCUCUGCCUCUCCAAUUCCAUGGACGGCGACGACCGGGACCCCACGCUCAAACCCGACGAGCUGGAACGGCGAGGUCAUGCGAGCCAACCAUCAUGAUUUGCCAUAGAACAAUAAGGUCUAUCUCAUGGACACCCAGAUUUUGUAUGCAAUUUUCUCAACACCUAGAUUGG